GAUGAACGCUGGCGGCGUGCCUAAUACAUGCAGGUCGAGCGAACGGACGAGAAGCUUGCUUCUCUGAUGUUAGCGGCGGACGGGUGAGUGACACGUGGAUAACCUACCUAUAAGACUGGGAUAACUUCGGGAAACCGGAGCUAAUACCGGAUGAUAUUUUGAACCGCAUGGUUCAAAAGUGAAAGACGGUCUUGCUGUCACUUAUAGAUGGAUCCGCGCUGCAUUAGCUAGUUGGUAAGGUAACGGCUUACCAAGGCAACGAUGCAUAGCCGACCUGAGAGGGUGAUCGGCCACACUGGAACUGAGACACGGUCCAGACUCCUACGGGAGGCAGCAGUAGGGAAUCUUCCGCAAUGGGCGAAAGCCUGACGGAGCAACGCCGCGUGAGUGAUGAAGGUCUUCGGAUCGUAAAACUCUGUUAUUAGGGAAGAACAUAUGUGUAAGUAACUGUGCACAUCUUGACGGUACCUAAUCAGAAAGCCACGGCUAACUACGUG
rnacentral:rRNA from 1 species